AGUGAACGCUGGCGGUAGGCCUAACACAUGCAAGUCGAACGGCAGCACAGGAGAGCUUGCUCUCUGGGUGGAGAGGGGCGGACGGGUGAGGAAUACAUCGGAAUCUACUUUUUCGUGGGGGAUAACGUAGGGAAACUUACGCUAAUACCGGAGACGACCUACGGGUGAAAGCAGGGGACCUUCGUGCCUUGCGCGAUUGAAUGAGCCGAUGUCGGAUUAGCUAGUUGGCGGGGUAAAGGCCCACCAAGGCGACGAUCCGUAGCUGGUCUGAGGGGAUGAUCAGCCACACCGGAACUGAGACACGGUCCAGACUCCUACCGGAGGCAGCAGUGGGGAAUAUUGGACAAUGGGUGCAAGCCUGAUCCAGCCAUACCGCGUGUGUGAAGAAGGCCUUCUGGUUGUAAAGCCCUUUUGUUGGGAAAGAAAUCCAUCUGGUUAAUACCCGGGUGGGAUGACGGUACCCAAAGAAUAAGCACCGGCUAACUUCGUGCCCGCCGCCGCGGUAA
rnacentral:rRNA from 1 species